rnacentral:rRNA from 1 species
UGAGGAAUAUUGGGCAAUGCCCGCAAGGGUGACCCAGCAACGCCGCGUGGAGGAUGAAUGUCGUAAGAUUGUAAACUCCUGUUAGAGGGGAAGAAUAGUACCGGUUGGACCGGUAUAUGACUGUACCCUCAGAGAAAGCCCCGGCUAACUACGUGCCAGCAGCCGCGGUAAAACGUAGGAGGCGAGCGUUAUCCGGAUUUACUGGGCGUAAAGCGCGUGCAGGCGGAUUGGAGAGUUGGAUGUGAAAGCUCCCGGCUUAACUGGGAGAGGUCGUUCAAUACUUCCAGUCUUGAGUGCAGUAGAGGGAAGUGGAAUUCCGGGUGUAGUGGUGAAAUGCGUAGAUAUCCGGAGGAACACCAGUGGCGAAAGCGGCUUCCUGGACUGUAACUGACGCUGAGGCUCGAAAGCGUGGGGAGCAAACA